UAAAGGAAUGAGAGCAAAAUAAAGUCAUUCUUAGAGGAAGGAACAUGGGAAGAGUUUGUGACCAGCAGGUCUGCUCCACAAGAAAUGCUUCCAGAGGCAGCCUGCAGCAUGUGGCUCCUGACCCCUUCCUUCCAUCACUGCAGCCUCUUGAUUCUGUCCUCACAUCCCCCACCAUUGGCUCUGACCUUUCGCCUCCCUCUAAUAAAAAGUCUGUGAA